rnacentral:rRNA from 1 species
CUACGGGUGGCUCCAGUGGGGAAUAUUGCACAAUGGGCGCAAGCCUGAUGCAGCCAUGCCGCGUGUAUGAAGAAGGCCUUCGGGUUGUAAAGUACUUUCAGCGGGGAGGAAGGGAGUAAAGUUAAUACCUUUGCUCAUUGACGUUACCCGCAGAAGAAGCACCGGCUAACUCCGUGCCAGCAGCCGCGGUAAUACGGAGGGUGCAAGCGUUAAACGGAAUUACUGGGCGUAAAGCGCACGCAGGCGGUUUGGUAAGUCAGAUGUGAAAUCCCCGGGCUCAACCUGGGAACUGCAUCUGAUACUGGCAAGCUUGAGUCUCGUAGAGGGGGGUAGAAUUCCAGGUGUAGCGGUGAAAUGCGUAGAGAUCUGGAGGAAUACCGGUGGCGAAGGCGGCCCCCUGGACGAAGACUGACGCUCAGGUGCGAAAGCGUGGGGAGCAAACAGGAUUAGAUACCCCAGUAGUC